AUAUAAAAAUUUGCCGAAUUCCUUUAAAUUAUUUUUAAAUAAAUUUUAUUUUUAUUUUUUUUUUUCAUAUACUAAUUUUAUCAUUAUAACUAAUUUUUUUUUAUUAAAAAAUUUUUUUUUAUAUAAAUUUAAAUAUUAAAUUAAAUUUUAUUUUAAUUAAAAUUAUUUAUAAUAAAUUAUAAUUUUUAAACAAUAUAAAUUUUAAAAAUUUUAAUCAUUAAAUUUAACUUUAUUAUAAAUAUUUAAAUUAAAGCUUAUCCCCUAAAAUAUUAAAUAUUAAAUUUUUAUAAUUAACUUAAAAAAUUAUAAAAUUAUUUAAAUUUAAAAUUAAAUUUUUUUCUAAAAAAACUAGAUAUAUUUAAAAACGAUUAACAUUUCAUUUCUAAUUAAUUAUUAAAAAUAAUUAUACAACAUUAACUUUAUUAAUUAAUUAACUCUUUUAAAUUCGAGAUUUAUUUAAAUAAAUUAUUUUUAUUUAAUAAACUCUGAUACACAAGAUACAAUAAAUUAAAUUUACUUUUAAAUUAAUUAAUUUCAUAUAUUUAUAAUUUCCUUUACAGUAAUAUUUCACUAUAAACUUAUUAAUUUUUUCUAUUAAAAAUACUUAAACCCCCAUUUUUUCUUUUUAAUAUUAAAAAUUUUUUUAUUAAACUUACAUCAUUAAUUUAACCCC
rnacentral:rRNA from 1 species